rnacentral:rRNA from 1 species
CGACGAACCAUCCUGUUGAUUGAAGCUUGCUUCUUGAUUCAGAUUUUGGUGAGUGGCGGACGGGUGAGUAACACGUGGGUAACCUGCCCAAAAGUGGGGGAUAACAUUUGGAAACAAGUGCUAAUACCGCAUAACAACUGCUUUCACAUGAUCGCAGCUUGAAAGAUGGCUCUGCUAUCGCUUUUGGAUGGACCCGCGGCGUAUUAGCUAGUUGGUGAGGUAAUAGCUCACCAAGGCAAUGAUACGUAGCCGACCUGAGAGGGUAAUCGGCCACAUUGGGACUGAGACACGGCCCAAACUCCUACGGGAGGCAGCAGUAGGGAAUCUUCCACAAUGGGCGAAAGCCUGAUGGAGCAAUGCCGCGUGAGUGAAGAAGGUUUUCGGAUCGUAAAACUCUGUUGUUGAAGAAGAACAUGCGUGAGAGUAACUGUUCACGUACUGACGGUAUUCAACCAGAAAGCCACGGCUAACUACGUGCCAGCAGCCGCGGUAAUACGUAGGUGGCAAGCGUUGUCCGGAUUUAUUGGGCGUAAAGAGAAUGUAGGCGGUUUAUUAAGUUUGAAGUGAAAGCCCUCGGCUCAA